GGGUAGGUACCCAAGUGGCCAAAGGGGGCAGACUGUAAAUCUGCUGGCGAAUGCCUUCGGGGGUUCGAAUCCUCCCCUGCCCA
rnacentral:tRNA from 2 species